GGGAGACACCGGGAGACCAGGCGCCCCGACCCAUCGGCUGGUCUUGAGGAGAAGCAGGACCGCCCCAGACUGUCGCCGCGGCCGGCAGGGCCGGGCGCUCCGCGGGGAAUCUGGGCCGCGGUGCCCUGUGCCCCACUCCGGCAGGACUGGGCUUCCCCGGCUCUUCGAGGGAAGACCGCACAGAGAAGACCCUGGGCACCCCUGUGGCGGGCCGGACCCCGGGAAAGUAGGGCCCCUGCUGCCCCGCGCACUUGGUGGCCAAACACCUCCGGAGCCUGAGGUCUUGGGCCUCCUCUGGCUCUGCGUCCGGGGUUCUCUUCUCUCCCCCAAGGGUUGGCCUUUGGGUCAAUCGUCCAGACCCAAGCCAAGCUUGUGUUGGGCAAGGGAGGAAUUCCUGGAAAAGGAAAAAGCCCCUGCCACCCUCCGCCCUUCAUUCAUCUUCCCUGCCACCCACUCUCUCCUUUUCCCUGCUCCUACCCCAACCCUGACCCUCAAGGCCUACCUGGCCAAAGACAACAGCUGCGUUAGUCGCUAGGCCUUGGUGGGACUGAAGGCGGAGGAGCCUGGGCAUCUGCUGGGGGAAGGCCGCACUAGACUGCAAGUCCUGGGUAGAAGCCCUCCCCAUCUUGGGCCAGCUCUCUUCUGAGAGCCUCAGUUUCCCUCUCUAUGAUGCCAAGGGCUUGACUUUGGUGACUUCUGGACAGCCCCGGCAUGGUGUCCUGGAGGUGAGCUACAACCUGAAACCCACCUCCUGCUGCCCAUCCCUCCUCCAGCCUCCUCUGGCUGACGUCUGCCAUGGGUCCGAGAGGAACUGCUCCUGCUUCCUCAGUGUUCUGAGGCUCCUGGCCUGCCUGCCUGCCUGCCCAUCUGUCUGGAGCUGUGGGUAAGAGCGGGCCCACCAUUGAGGCAGGGGCAGAAAAGAGCCUCUCUGCUUUAUUUGCUGUGUUUUCUGGAGAAUCUUCCUUGGGGAAACUAAAUGAAGGGAAAAGCAGGAGAGGAGCCACCAGAUAGCAUCCAGGAGGAGAGAACAAUGCAUUCACCAGCAGGUCCUUUAUUCGUUUAUACAGAAUGUCUGUGUCCAAAUAUAUACCAUUUUUCUGUG
rnacentral:lncRNA from 1 species